rnacentral:lncRNA from 1 species
AAAACUAUUUUACAAGCCUUUUACGGAGAGUGUGGGAAAUAUACCAGGUCGGCCCAUACCUGACAUAAGUGAUUCAAUAGUGAAUACCAACCGGUCUAAUGAUUCAAUGGCAAUUCGCAAAUACCAAUCGGUCUAACGACACACUACAUCGGAUUGAUUUACACAUACAGUACAUCAUUCGAGUUCUAACCCAGCCAUAUGAUUGUGGUAGCAAAAUUCAAAACCACACCGGAACUCGAAAGUUUCCUUUUAAACCAAAGAAAUCGUUAAGAUUGAUACCAACAGCCAGGCCAUUCACCACCACUUUCAGGGGCGCUAGUCAAGGAAACAAACACAUACUCACUAGCCAUAGCCUACAUUUCGAACCAAUUAGUAAAUCAACAAUCAAGUAGAGUAAAUGAAGAGAUAAUCGUCCUCGACAUUGCGGAUAUCAGCCUGUCAAUCAACAGGAUAAUGCAGCCUGUCAGAAGCAAAUGCUGAAAUCCAAUCUGAAUCUGGAUUGUUGUUGGCAUCAGCAAUAAGUAUAUCAAAGUGAAUGAUGUAACCUUCCUUAACUUCAUGCAUGCUCUUCAUGGUGAAAUUAGAGCCCAUGCGCAGAACCAAUCCCAGAAAAAAUGAAUUGGGAAAUUAUAGCCCUGUGAUGUAAAUAAGGAUACUAACAAAGAAUCCAGAAUGUACUCGCAUCAAUCAAGCAAGAACAUGUUCUCCCAGUAAGUUGCAGCAUGCCCGGAUGGAAUUAAUAAUUUGACCUGUUUAAAUUUCCAAUCUAGAUUCCUCUUGCCCGCUGCAGUAUACAAGCAACAAUGAGGAAACUUUAUUAUCGACUCUUCUGCUGCUGCUGCUACAUAAGCUUCUGUUAACAUCGGUGAAACAUAAAGUUUGGAUCUUUUGCCUCCCACUUAUGAGUUUGAGGGAUUGGUGGACAAGAAAGGGACAUUGCUUAGUUAGCCACAUUUGUUGGGACUGUGCUGGCUCAUAGAAUCCCAAGUCAUAAAGUUUGGAUCUUUUGCCUCCCACUUAUGAGUUUGAGGGAUUGGUGGACAAGAAAGGGACAUUGCUUAGUUAGCCACAUUUGUUGGGACUGUGCUGGAUCACAGAAUCCCAAGUCAUACCAUCAGUCUUUGGCCUCUCACCAUCCUAUAUAAACCGCCAUUAGAAGGCAUCACAACUCAUCUUCAUAUCCACCUCUCUUUCAACAAAGAACUUCACCAAAACCAGGGAAAUAAAUGGCAUCCAUCUCAUUUCGAUAUCGAUCCAAAAGUCUGUCAACAAGGAACACCCUCUAGCAUACGAAUUCAACAGGAAAUUCUGCAGAUCUCAACAACAGAAAUGAUCAUCCUAGACGCUAGACCCCCAACCCCAGACCUUACCUAGACCCCAAUAACUAUACGUAACGUACCCUAAACCUCAGUACCUAGACCACACUACCUAGUCCCUACUGCCUAGACCCUAGACCAAGUUGAAACAGCUCCAUAGUUUCGUCAACUCGCAAGUAGAAAGCCAUGAAAAGAAAUUGAGUUAUUUUUAUCAUAGAAAAGAAAUGAAAAGAAAUGAAAGAAAAGCAGAAGGAUGAUGUUGCAAAAAAUGACAUCAAAAGCUUUACCAAGACAGGUCAGCAGUUAGAAGACCAACAUAGCACACAGUAGCGAAGACUUACAGAAACGUAUAGACUACAGAAAAAUAAUACCAUGAAUACGAAAAAUGACAAGUGGCAGAGGUGAAUUACCAGGGAUGAGUUGAAUUUUGAGGUUUCAGAACUUUGACAAGAUGUUGUUUCCCAGACUUGCAUGGAGGGGUGUUCAUUCAUUCUCGCAUUCUUUGUGCUUGUGUUAGAGCGCACCAACUCAUCACUUCACUUAGGUGAUGAACGCCCUAACACUUACUUUUACGCACCACCCCCUCUUUUUUUUACUCAAUGGAGACGUGGUUAAGACCCAACCCAUACGAGGCAAACCCGGAAAAAAACCCUGCAAACAGGUGGAACCCGGAUCGCCACGUGUGUGAGCCAUAACCACCUAAACCUUCAAGACUUCUUUGGUGGCACAUGCGUUAGAAUCCCCCAUCUACUAAAACUUCAUAGCGCCUUAAAGGAGUUUAAACGGAAAAAUAAAAUGAUACUAAUUCACACUGACAAGAUGCAAAUCCAUAUGAGAAUCUCAAAGUGCAUUUAAGGAAAGAUAAAGGGAGAUGAUCAUGCUAGCAAACAACACAACAUUUAUGUCAACCAGUGUCGCCAUGAUAAUUCAAAGCAGUUUGAACCGGUUUAUGGCAUGAUAACAACACGAUGCAGACAAUAAGAACAAAGAUAACCAAGAUUAAGCAAGCAAGCAGGUCAGCAGUUAGAAAACAAACAUAGUAAGAAUAGGAAGAAUGUCAAGUGGCACAGGAAAAUUACCAGGGAAAUUAUCAAUGAAAUUCUUGUUAAGGGGAAGCUAACUACGUACUCACAGAUCAUGGCAGCUUUCCUCUCAUCUGAUAGCCGUGGAGUCUUCUGAAACUUGUUUAGAAACGUCACUCGCAGAUUUAGAGUCUGCCAUCUCCUUAAUUUGCUGCAAUUAAAACAACCAACAUGAAUCAUGGAAUCAGAUCUAUGUUCAGUAACCCUAAAAUCUAUAAGAGAAACAACAAACAAGAC